GUGAGGAAGAUAUAACGAUCUCAGUUUACGCUCAGAAGACACUGAAGCUUUCCGAGGGUAAAUGGCUUGCCCCCAAGUUGAACAGCUAAUAGGGGAGAGCAGUUCUCAUUCUGGUCUGGGCUUUUGUACCCUAAGGCACGAAGUCAGAAGCCUGAGUAAGUGUGUCUCAUGUGGGUGGUGAUGGUGUAGAAGCGCCUCUGUUCAUCACAAUGCAAGCAGGGGACAUGGGUCACAGGCACUGUCCACUAUGCAGAGAUCUCACACAGGAACAGCGGUAAUGCUGAGCGGAGGAAGUGGGCAGUGGGAGCAAAUGGCUGAAAACUGCCAAGUUGGAAGAAAUCUAAAGAGGUUUAUGUUAAUUUCCCUUAGACCUAGAGCAACGAACCACCUCUGGGUGGUGCUGGAAAGGAACUUGGCAUCCUCUGGUUAGCAGCCUCCUGGCCAGGAGGUUGUACUCACUUGCGAGGUUUCCCUUCCAUUCCUCUGCUCCCUGCUCAGCUCACUUCACCUGUGGUACCUCCGUCAGCUUCAUGGGAAACCCUUUCUGAGCAUCUUAAAAGAGUUCUACCGAAUGCUACAGAACUCAGCAGGAAUGGCCCAGUUAGCUCUGCAAGCACAUCCCGAGAGGCUCAGUGGGCAGUUGUGGAUUUCAGCCCUGCCUCUAGUUCAUCAUCCCCACUCUGAAAUCUUACCAAUCAAGACAGCCGAGUGCCUCGGGAGUCAGCAUCAACAAAUGUGACGCCACCAAAUGGAACUAGAGGAGUGAGAGGCAGCUCCAGUGAAGAAGUGCCCGAGUCCCUGGUUGUGUCGAUCACUGUGACGUGCUGCUCUCUGCAUCCAAAAUGACUGAUGGGCCUGUAAUUUGUUGUUGUUGUUGUUUUGGCAUACAUUUGCAGAAGCAAACUUGUUCACGGUUCCCCUGCUGAAAGCUCAACCAUCUGAGUGCCAUAGGAAACAGACUUUGGCAUUUUAGCUGCUCACAGACUGGGUCAUCCAUAAAAGUUUAAUUUUCUAAAAAUA